rnacentral:rRNA from 1 species
AUGAACGCUGGCGGCGUGCCUCAUACCUGCAAGUCGAGCGCACAGACGAGGAGCUUGCUCCUUUGACGUUAGCGGCGGACGGGUGAGUAACACGUGGGUAACCUACCUAUAAGACUGGGAUAACUUCGGGAAACCGGAGCUAAUACCGGAUAAUAUUUCGAACCGCAUGGUUCGAUAGUGAAAGAUGGCUUUGCUAUCACUUAUAGAUGGACCUGCGCCGUAUUAGCUAGUUGGUAAGGUAACGGCUUACCAAGGCAACGAUACGUAGCCGACCUGAGAGGGUGAUCGGCCACACUGGAACUGAGACACGGUCCAGACUCCUACGGGAGGCAGCAGUAGGGAAUCUUCCGCAAUGGGCGAAAGCCUGACGGAGCAACGCCGCGUGAGUGAUGAAGGUCUUCGGAUCGUAAAACUCUGUUAUUAGGGAAGAACAAACGUGUAAGUAACUGUGCACGUCUUGACGGUACCUAAUCAGAAAGCCACGGCUAACUACGUG